AGGAAAAGGAAAUAACAGUCUUGACAGGUCUUCCAAUCUAGAGUAGUGGCUGUCUGUGGAGUUCUGUUAAAGUCAACAGCAUAGGAAAGGAAGCUUAUGCGGACACCGUGAAGAGGAUCUGCCUCUUUGUGGAGGGCUUUGCUUUCAAUGUUCUUGGUGCUCUGGAUGUAUAGAGUCCCACAGAAAAGGCCUCUUCACUGGUGAUGAAAGAAACUAAGAAUUUAUACAAAUGGCAACUGUAAAGUAGAAGCAAAGCAGGAGAGUCAACACGGCCCUUUCAUCAGUUUGCUUAUAUGGUGGAUUGCAUUGAUGGAUUUCCAUAUAUUGAACCACUCCUGCAUGCCUGGAAUGAAGCCUACUUGGUCAUGGUGGAUGAUAUUUUCAGCAUGUUCUUGGAUUCAGUUUGAUUCCAAGAUGGACUGUGCCUGGGAGGCAAAGGCAGGAGGAUCAAGAGUUUAAGACUAACCUCAACUUUAUAUCAACCUAGAGGACUUCUAGGGAUACAGCAAUGAGGACCGUGGACUGAUCCUAGAACCUCCAGUGUGCAAAGCCACUGCCUCUGAGCUCCAUCUUCCUCAGCUUCCUUUUUAAG